AGAGUUUGAUCCUGGCUCAGGACGAACGCUGGCGGCGUGCUUAACACAUGCAAGUGGAGCGAUGAAGUUUCUUCGGAAAUGGAUUAGCGGCGAACGGGUGAGGAACACGUGAAGAAUCUGCCCUCCACUUUGGGAUAACACCGGGAAACCGGUGCUAAUACCGAAUAUUGAAACAUAAGUGGCAUCACUGAGUUUUGAAAGAAUUUCGGUGGAGGAUGACUUCGCGGCCUAUCAGCUAGUUGGUGAGGUAAUGGCUCACCAAGGCAACGACGGGUAGCCGGCCUGAGAGGGCGACCGGCCACACUGGGACUGAGACACGGCCCAGACUCCUACGGGAGGCAGCAGUGGGGAAUAUUGGGCAAUGGAGGAAACUCUGACCCAGCGACGCCGCGUGCGGGAUGAAGGCCUUCGGGUUGUAAACCGCUUUCAGUAGGGAAGAAGCGAAAGUGACGGUACCUACAAAAGAAGCACCGGCUAACUAUGUGCCAGCAGCCGCGGUAAUACAUAGGGUGCAAGCGUUGUCCGGAAUUAUUGGGCGUAAAGAGCUCGUAGGUUGUUUGUUACGUCGGAUGUGAAAACCUGAGGCUCAACCUCAGGCCUGCAUUCGAUACGGGCAAACUAGAGUUUGGUAGGGGAGACUGGAAUUCCUGGUGUAGCGGUGGAAUGCGCAGAUAUCAGGAGGAACACCAAUGGCGAAGGCAGGUCUCUGGGCCAAUACUGACACUGAGGAGCGAAAGUCUGGGGAGCGAACAGGAUUAGAUACCCUGGUAGUCCAGACCGUAAACGGUGGGCACUAGUUGUGGGGACCUUCCACGGUCUCUGCGACGCAGCUAACGCAUUAAGUGCCCCGCCUGGGGAGUACGAUCGCAAGAUUAAAAAUCAAAUGAAUU
rnacentral:rRNA from 1 species